rnacentral:rRNA from 1 species
UGGGGAAUAUUGCACAAUGGGGGAAACCCUGAUGCAGCGACGCCGCGUGAACGAAGAAGGUAUUCGUAUCGUAAAGUUCUGUCCUAUGGGAAGAUAAUGACAGUAUCAUAGAAGAAAGCUCCGGCUAAAUACGUGCCAGCAGCCGCGGUAAUACGUAUGGAGCGAGCGUUGUCCGGAAUUAUUGGGCGUAAAGGGUACGCAGGCGGUUUAAUAAGUCGAAUGUUAAAGAUCGGGGCUCAACCCCGUAAAGCAUUGGAAACUGAUAAACUUGAGUAGUGGAGAGGAAAGUGGAAUUCCUAGUGUAGUGGUGAAAUACGUAGAUAUUAGGAGGAAUACCAGUAGCGAAGGCGACUUUCUGGACACAAACUGACGCUGAGGUACGAAAGCGUGGGGAGCAAACAGG